UACGUAGGGGGCUAGCGUUGUCCGGAAUCAUUGGGCGUAAAGCGCGUGUAGGCGGCCCGGUAAGUCCGCUGUGAAAGUCGGGGGCUCAACCCUCGGAUGCCGGUGGAUACUGUCGGGCUCGAGUACGGAAGAGGCGAGUGGAAUUCCUGGUGUAGCGGUGAAAUGCGCAGAUAUCAGGAGGAACACCAAUUGCGAAGGCAGCUCUCUGGGACGGUACUGACGCUGAGACGCGAAAGCGUGGGGAGCGAACAGG
rnacentral:rRNA from 1 species